GGGUUGUGAGGUUAAGCGACUAAGCGUACACGGUGGAUGCCCUGGCAGUCAGAGGCGAUGAAGGGCGUACUAAUCUGCGAUAAGCGCCGGUAAGGUGAUAUGAACCGUUAUAACCGGCGAUACCCGAAUGGGGAAACCCAGUGUGAUUCGUCACACUAUCAUUAACUGAAUCCAUAGGUUAAUGAGGCGAACCGGGGGAACUGAAACAUCUAAGUACCCCGAGGAAAAGAAAUCAACCGAGAUUCCCCCAGUAGCGGCGAGCGAACGGGGAGGAGCCCAGAGCCUGAAUCAGCAUGUGUGUUAGUGGAAGCGUCUGGAAAGGCGCGCGAUACAGGGUGACAGCCCCGUACACAAAAGCGCAUGUGCUGUGAGCUCGAUGAGUAGGGCGGGACACGUGGUAUCCUGUCUGAAUAUGGGGGGACCAUCCUCCAAGGCUAAAUACUCCUGACUGACCGAUAGUGAACCAGUACCGUGAGGGAAAGGCGAAAAGAACCCCGGCGAGGGGAGUGAAAAAGAACCUGAAACCGUGUACGUACAAGCAGUGGGAGCACAGNNNNNNNNNNNNNACUGCGUACCUUUUGUAUAAUGGGUCAGCGACUUAUAUUCUGUAGCAAGGUUAACCGAAUAGGGGAGCCGGAGGGAAACCGAGUCUUAAUUGGGCGUUAAGUUGCAGGGUAUAGACCCGAAACCCGGUGAUCUAGCCAUGGGCAGGUUGAAGGUUGGGUAACACUAACUGGAGGACCGAACCGACUAAUGUUGAAAAAUUAGCGGAUGACCUGUGGCUGGGGGUGAAAGGCCAAUCAAACCGGGAGAUAGCUGGUUCUCCCCGAAAGCUAUUUAGGUAGCGCCUCGUGAAUUCAUCUCCGGGGGUAGAGCACUGUUUCGGCUAGGGGGCCAUCCCGGCUUACCAACCCGAUGCAAACUGCGAAUACCGGAGAAUGUUAUCACGGGAGACACACGGCGGGUGCUAACGUCCGUCGUGAAGAGGGAAACAACCCAGACCGCCAGCUAAGGUCCCAAAGUCAUGGUUAAGUGGGAAACGAUGUGGGAAGGCCCAGACAGCCAGGAUGUUGGCUUAGAAGCAGCCAUCAUUUAAAGAAAGCGUAAUAGCUCACUGGUCGAGUCGGCCUGCGCGGAAGAUGUAACGGGGCUAAACCAUGCACCGAAGCUGCGGCAGCGACACUGUGUGUUGUUGGGUAGGGGAGCGUUCUGUAAGCCUGCGAAGGUGGCCUGUGAGGGUUGCUGGAGGUAUCAGAAGUGCGAAUGCUGACAUAAGUAACGAUAAAGCGGGUGAAAAGCCCGCUCGCCGGAAGACCAAGGGUUCCUGUCCAACGUUAAUCGGGGCAGGGUGAGUCGACCCCUAAGGCGAGGCCGAAAGGCGUAGUCGAUGGGAAACGGGUUAAUAUUCCCGUACUUGGUGUUACUGCGAAGGGGGGACGGAGAAGGCUAUGUUGGCCGGGCGACGGUUGUCCCGGUUUAAGCGUGUAGGUGUGUGUUCCAGGUAAAUCCGGUUCACUUUAACACUGAGGCGUGACGACGAGGCACUACGGUGCUGAAGCAACAAAUGCCCUGCUUCCAGGAAAAGCCUCUAAGCAUCAGGUAACAUCAAAUCGUACCCCAAACCGACACAGGUGGUCAGGUAGAGAAUACCAAGGCGCUUGAGAGAACUCGGGUGAAGGAACUAGGCAAAAUGGUGCCGUAACUUCGGGAGAAGGCACGCUGACACGUAGGUGAAGUGAUUUACUCAUGGAGCUGAAGUCAGUCGAAGAUACCAGCUGGCUGCAACUGUUUAUUAAAAACACAGCACUGUGCAAACACGAAAGUGGACGUAUACGGUGUGACGCCUGCCCGGUGCCGGAAGGUUAAUUGAUGGGGUCAGCGCAAGCGAAGCUCCUGAUCGAAGCCCCGGUAAACGGCGGCCGUAACUAUAACGGUCCUAAGGUAGCGAAAUUCCUUGUCGGGUAAGUUCCGACCUGCACGAAUGGCGUAAUGAUGGCCAGGCUGUCUCCACCCGAGACUCAGUGAAAUUGAACUCGCUGUGAAGAUGCAGUGUACCCGCGGCAAGACGGAAAGACCCCGUGAACCUUUACUAUAGCUUGACACUGAACAUUGAGCCUUGAUGUGUAGGAUAGGUGGGAGGCUUUGAAGUGUGGACGCCAGUCUGCAUGGAGCCGACCUUGAAAUACCACCCUUUAAUGUUUGAUGUUCUAACGUGGACCCGUUACCCGGGUUGCGGACAGUGUCUGGUGGGUAGUUUGACUGGGGCGGUCUCCUCCUAAAGAGUAACGGAGGAGCACGAAGGUUGGCUAAUCCUGGUCGGACAUCAGGAGGUUAGUGCAAUGGCAUAAGCCAGCUUGACUGCGAGCGUGACGGCGCGAGCAGGUGCGAAAGCAGGUCAUAGUGAUCCGGUGGUUCUGAAUGGAAGGGCCAUCGCUCAACGGAUAAAAGGUACUCCGGGGAUAACAGGCUGAUACCGCCCAAGAGUUCAUAUCGACGGCGGUGUUUGGCACCUCGAUGUCGGCUCAUCACAUCCUGGGGCUGAAGUAGGUCCCAAGGGUAUGGCUGUUCGCCAUUUAAAGUGGUACGCGAGCUGGGUUUAGAACGUCGUGAGACAGUUCGGUCCCUAUCUGCCGUGGGCGCUGGAGAACUGAGGGGGGCUGCUCCUAGUACGAGAGGACCGGAGUGGACGCAUCACUGGUGUUCGGGUUGUCAUGCCAAUGGCACUGCCCGGUAGCUAAAUGCGGAAGAGAUAAGUGCUGAAAGCAUCUAAGCACGAAACUUGCCCCGAGAUGAGUUCUCCCUGAGACUUAAAGUCUCCUGAAGGAACGUUGAAGACGACGACGUUGAUAGGCCGGGUGUGUAAGCGCAGCGAUGCGUUGAGCUAACCGGUACUAAUGAACCGUGAGGCUUAACCUUACAACGCCGAAG
rnacentral:rRNA from 1 species